UUGCCUAAGGAUACAUAGCUAAUUCUUGACAAACUGAACACAAGUCUUUCAAUUCCUAACCCCAGACAACCCUUUAGUUUAAGAAAGCCUCAUUGGAGAUCUAUCUCAUAGGCCCAGAAGAGCCACCUUCACUAUAUAGGACCUCAAGGUUGACAAAUAAUAGGCUCUCCUGAAACACCUCCUGUACCCAUUUCCCUAACAUAGCUAAUCAAAUGUGGCACUCUUUCUGAGGCUCCCAGGAAACUGAAUCCUCAACACAGUAGCAAAAGUAGAUGAACUCUGCCAUUCCGGCUAUAGGUGCUUGGUGCUGGAGAGCGAAGAGGCAUCUGAUCUGAUGAGACAUUCAUUUAAUGAUUUAAUAAAUACCAACUAUCUAACAAUUAAGUUCUGUGAUAAAUAAGCAAAUCGUAUGCCCAAAGAAUUAGGAUACGGAGGGGAAUAAAAGCACCUACAUUAGGAAUUUACAUGUAUUCUUUAGCCUGGAAAGACUUCAUUCCAAGUUAAUCUUAUGUCUGCUGAAGCAAGGAUGAGAGCCAAGCCUCUUAUCAAUUCCAUCCUUUAAAUUUCUCCCAAGUGCAAAAGUAUUACUUAUCACAUAGGUUGGGAGAUCCUCAGAGAACAAUUCCUCUGUGGGUUAGUUCCGAAAAAAAAUGUGUGUCCUCUAAAUAACAGGUUUAUUUCGGCUAAUGCUCACAGUAUAUUUGGUAGAUGACCCUUCCCACACGGGCUAAUAGAAAACUGAGCCAAAUUUAUGGCUCACUGGUGCUUUUUUUAGCUUUAUGUCUGGCUCCGUUUCCAUGCACCAGUUUUUUUUCUUGAUUUAUUCCUCUCACUUAUAAUAAAUGUUACAUGCUUUGUUAGAAUUUAUGUAUCUUUGUUCUCUUCUAACACUUUCUGGAAUUAAAGUAUUUUCCUACUUUCUGGAAUACCUGCAGAAGUUCUGAGGGUGAGGAAGUUAGAGAAAGGACCAGAGGACUCUCACAUGUGCUCCCUUUAUUUCCUGAGAAAUGUGGUGUCCCAAAUUCUUCAUACGGGUGGAUAGUUGAUUGGAUCCCAACCUUUUAGCCAACCUGUAGCAUUUUACAUUUUGUAGAAACGAGAUUUCUGAAUGUGUGAAACAGGUAGGCAAUCUUGAGGAAAGCUUCAACAUUCUGCAGGUCUUUGUAAGCCUAGAACAGGCCCUGAUUGAAUCUUAGACAUAACAGUAAGGAGAAAUGUAGGUUGCCAAACCUCUUCCAAAAAUAUGUCAAAAUAGUUCAAAGUGAUGAUAAGGAGAAAGAUGAUAUAAUGAGACUGUUUCUCAAAAUAUCGUAUGUGCUUGUAGGAAAAGACCUUUGAAACAAAGAAUCUAGACCUAACUAAACAGAGAGAGAAUUCUAAUAAGACAUGACCAGUAACAUUGGAAUGGUGCUGCUUUGGGUGCUCUGAUAAGUAAAUUCAUCAUCAUUGAUAAUAGUAACUUUGGGAAAAGACUGGUGAAGAUUUCAGUUAAUUGGGUAGCUUUUUAACUUUAAAAACAAUCACUUGUAACAGACAUUUAGAAUAGAGAGAGCUGUGAGUGGUAAAAUUCCUCGUCUUUUUUCUCCAGGCUGCCCUCUGCAAGAAAAGGAAGGACAAAGAAAGGAAGGUGAGAAGACAAAGGCAUAGAGUUUGGUGAAUGUCCAUGACUAUGUGGAGAGUAAGUGGCAGAGUUUGGGACUCAUCUCUGAAAGUCUGAGCACUAUAUAUCCUAUCCGUGAUGCCUGGGCUCUCAAGAGGUGAUCUCAUCCCAUCUACUUUAAAUAGUGUACCAUCUAUAUGCUGAUGAUUCACAAAUUUAUAUUGUCAUCCCUGACAUCUCUACUGAGUUUCACGCUUAUGUAUACAACUACUUAGUUGUCAUCUCCACUUGGCCAUGAUAGCCAGAACCUCUCACUAUCCUCUGCCCACGUAUCUUUCAUCAAGAGUUGAUAUGUUCCAUAACAACAGCACAGAUCAUUACGUCGGAUCAUCAUCUUCAGUGAGUGUUCAUUAAAUACUUGUUACAUAAGAGUACUAUUUUGGGUUUUGGGUAUAUCAAGAAACAUAGGACAAGAUCCUUGACUUGAAGGAGCUGAGUCUUAAGUAGAGAGCAAGCAUCUCAACUUCUCAAAGGUAACUAGUAUUAUAACACAACAUGCAUUCAAUGCCAAAUGAGUCACACAGACAAGUGCUAUCAUAAGAAUUCCGUCAUAGCAAGAUAGGGGAAUGAGAGCUUCUCAUUGAAAAUGGAGGAACGGAACUGGGUCUUGUUGAUUCUUGGUCAUUUCAAGAUCCUUCCACCUGGGACGUUCUUUCCUUAGACUGCAUGUUUCACUCUCACUCUCUUCUUUCAGUUCUUUGCUCAAAUGUCACCUCAGAGUAGCUCUCCGUGACUGAAAUGAUGAAAACAGUCCUCUUCCCCACCACAGAGACUGUUUUCCCCUUGUUAUCUGAAAUUUAGUUAUUUACUUGUUUAUUGUCUUUCUCACAAUUCAUGAGAGCAGGAAGCUUGUCUCUGUUGUUCACCAUUGUCUAUCCAUUGCCUAAAACAUUAUCUGGCACAAAGUAGGUAUUCAAUAAAUAUUUGUUGGGUAAUGGGCCUUGUGAACCAAGAGGAACUUAGAUGAGAAGACAGAGUGGCCAUUCUACGCAAGGACGAUGGUCUGAAACACACAUGGCCUUAGAGAGUUCUUUUCAGUCAUGGUCUACAGACAGCUUUCUACUCUCUAUGUGAAAAUUUCAGUAAUACCUAGGAUGCUGAUAAUAUCACUGAUGAUCAGUGCAAGUGAUAGGGCUUGCCUCUAUAAUAAUAACCCCUGGCCAGUUUGGAGACAGUGAGCCUUCUGGAUCUGCCAGUUUUUCCUGAGCUCACAGAAGAAAGCUUGUCAAAGAAGACUUGAUUGGAUCUCUAGAAAUAAAAUUUUACAAGGCAUAAGACAAAUAAAAGUGUUGAGGAGACUUCCAAGCCAACUGGCUUAUUUUUUAGGAUUUCCAUAAACAAAAAAGAAAGGCUGAAAAUUAUGAUGAAGGAUGAAAAUGAAACCAAGGUCUAGUUUAUUAAGGUUGAUGAAAACUUUUUUUUCAAAACUAUAUUUUGAUACUGAUUUACUCAG